GGUGAACGCUGGCGGCGUGCCUAAUACAUGCCAGUCGAGCGAACAGACGAGGAGCUUGCUCCUCUGACGUUAGCGGCGGACGGGUGAGUAACACGUGGAUAACCUACCUAUAAGACUGGGAUAACUUCGGGAAACCGGAGCUAAUACCGGAUAAUAUAUUGAACCGCAUGGUUCAAUAGUGAAAGACGGUUUUGCUGUCACUUAUAGAUGGAUCCGCGCCGCAUUAGCUAGUUGGUAAGGUAACGGCUUACCAAGGCAACGAUGCGUAGCCGACCUGAGAGGGUGAUCGGCCACACUGGAACUGAGACACGGUCCAGACUCCUACGGGAGGCAGCAGUAGGGAAUCUUCCGCAAUGGGCGAAAGCCUGACGGAGCAACGCCGCGUGAGUGAUGAAGGUCUUCGGAUCGUAAAACUCUGUUAUUAGGGAAGAACAAAUGUGUAAGUAACUAUGCACGUCUUGACGGUACCUAAUCAGAAAGCCACGGCUAACUACGUG
rnacentral:rRNA from 1 species